rnacentral:rRNA from 1 species
GACAGAGGUGCCAAGCGUUAGGCGGAAUUACUGGGCGUAAAGAGUGUGUAGGCGGUGCUCCAAGUCUGGUGUGAAAUCUCCCGGCUUAACUGGGAGGGUGCAUUAGAAACUGGAAUGCUAGAGGAUGGGAGAGGUAAGCGGAAUUCCUGGUGUAGCGGUGAAAUGCGUAGAUAUCAGGAGGAACACCUGUGGUGUAGACAGCUUACUGGACCACAACUGACGCUGAGGCGCGAAAGCUAGGGGAGCAAACAGG